rnacentral:tRNA from 1 species
GCCUGGGUGGCUCAGUCGGUUGAGCGUCUGACUUCAGCUCAGGUCACGAUCUCACGGUCCGUGAGUUCGAGCCUCGCGUUGGGCU